AGGGAGGUCGAUCGCACCGAAGAAGGUUAAGUGGUACAGCAACAGCAGUUGAAGAAGGGCCUGGAGGUGGCGAUCAGGAACAAGAUAGAGGAAGAGGUGACUCACCGAGCCAGUACGAAACUCCACAAGAGACUGAGUAUUGUGAAGGGGGCGGAGGUGAAACCAACCCCCUCUAAAGGAAACAACCAUCCCAACCACCCUGCACCCAGCACCUCCAAAUAAACUCUGUUAUUCUGUC